CGCCCGCCAGCCUGGCCGUCGAGCUGCUGCUCUGGCCGCUGCUCGGCGCCCGGUUCGAGGCCGGGGCGGUCGGC
rnacentral:tRNA from 1 species